GAUGAACGCUGGCGGCGUGCUUAACACAUGCAAGUCGAACGGGAAACCUUUUAUUGAAGCUUCGGCAGAUUUAGCUGGUUUCUAGUGGCGGACGGGUGAGUAACGCGUGGGUAACCUGCCUUAUACAGGGGGAUAACAGUCAGAAAUGGCUGCUAAUACCGCAUAAGCGCACAGAGCUGCAUGGCUCAGUGUGAAAAACUCCGGUGGUAUAAGAUGGACCCGCGUUGGAUUAGCUGGUUGGUGGGGUAACGGCCCACCAAGGCGACGAUCCAUAGCCGGCCUGAGAGGGUGAACGGCCACAUUGGGACUGAGACACGGCCCAGACUCCUACGGGAGGGAGCAGUGGGGAAUAUUGCACAAUGGGGGAAACCCUGAUGCAGCGACGCCGCGGGAAGGAAGAAGUAUCUCGGUAUGUAAACUUCUAUCAGCAGGGAAGAUAAUGACGGUACCUGACUAAGAAGCCCCGGCUAACUACGUG
rnacentral:rRNA from 1 species